AACGAACGCUGGCGGCAUGCCUAACACAUGCAAGUCGAACGAGACCUUCGGGUCUAGUGGCGCACGGGUGCGUAACGCGUGGGAACCUGCCCUUAGGUUCGGAAUAACUCCCCGAAAGGGGUGCUAAUACCGGAUAAUGUCUUCGGACCAAAGAUUUAUCGCCUUUGGAUGGGCCCGCGUUGGAUUAGCUAGUUGGUAGGGUAAAAGCCUACCAAGGCGACGAUCCAUAGCUGGUCUGAGAGGAUGAUCAGCCACACUGGGACUGAGACACGGCCCAGACUCCUACGGGCGGCAGCAGUGGGGAAUAUUGGACAAUGGGCGAAAGCCUGAUCCAGCAAUGCCGCGUGAGUGAUGAAGGCCUUAGGGUCGUAAAGCUCUUUUACCCGGGAUGAUAAUGACAGUACCGGGAGAAUAAGCUCCGGCUAACUCCGUG
rnacentral:rRNA from 1 species